UAGUUCAGCAUCACCACCAUAUGCUACU
rnacentral:piRNA from 1 species